rnacentral:rRNA from 1 species
CCUAACACAUGCAAGUCGAGCGCAGGAAGCAAGCUGAUCCCCUUCGGGGGUGACGCUUGUGGAAUGAGCGGCGGACGGGUGAGUAACACGUGGGCAACCUGCCUGUAAGACUGGGAUAACCCCGGGAAACCGGGGCUAAUACCGGAUAAUACUUUCUUUUGCAUAAAGGAAAGUUGAAAGGCGGCUUCGGCUGUCACUUACAGAUGGGCCCGCGGCGCAUUAGCUAGUUGGUGAGGUAACGGCUCACCAAGGCGACGAUGCGUAGCCGACCUGAGAGGGUGAUCGGCCACACUGGGACUGAGACACGGCCCAGACUCCUAC